UACGUAGGGUGCAAGCGUUAAUCGGAAUUACUGGGCGUAAAGCGUGCGCAGGCGGUUUUGUAAGUUUGUCGUGAAAGCCCCGGGCUCAACCUGGGAAUUGCGAUGGAGACUGCAAGGCUAGAAUCUGGCAGAGGGGGGUAGAAUUCCACGUGUAGCAGUGAAAUGCGUAGAGAUGUGGAGGAACACCGAUGGCGAAGGCAGCCCCCUGGGUCAAGAUUGACGCUCAUGCACGAAAGCGUGGGGAGCAAACAGG
rnacentral:rRNA from 1 species